CCGAUCCUACGGGGGGCAGCAGUGAGGAAUAUUGGUCAGUGGGCGGAAGCCUGAACCAGCCACGUCGCGUGAGGGAAUAAGGCCCUACGGGUCGUAAACCUCUUUUGCCGGGGAGCAAGGGCCGGGACGAGUCCCGGUCCGGAGAGUACCCGGAGAAAAAGCAUCGGCUAACUCCGUGCCAGCAGCCGCGGUAAUACGGAGGAUGCGAGCGUUAUCCGGAUUUAUUGGGUUUAAAGGGUGCGUAGGCGGGCUUUUAAGUCAGCGGUAAAAAUUCGUGGCUCAACCCCGUCCGGCCGUUGAAAAUG
rnacentral:rRNA from 1 species